GGCCACUCGAGCGACGCCAAGAGGAUCCUGAAAAAGCACGAGAUCGGCACUCUCGUCGAGUCGUCAAAUGAAAACAACGCGAUGGCCAACGUCACUUGCGCCGGUCGCGCAAGCGGUGAUGCCAUCACCACUGCCACCGACAGUCGACCCAAUAAACGGCGCAGGAAUAUCCUGAGCGCCAUACUCGGGCCUUGC